rnacentral:rRNA from 1 species
CCUACGGGAGGCUGCAGUGGGGAAUAUUGGACAAUGGGGGGAACCCUGAUCCAGCCAUGCCGCGUGUGUGAAGAAGGCCCUCGGGUUGUAAAGCACUUUCAGUGAGGAAGAACGCCUGGUGGUUAAUACCCAUCAGGAAAGACAUCACUCACAGAAGAAGCACCGGCUAACUCCGUGCCAGCAGCCGCGGUAAUACGGAGGGUGCGAGCGUUAAUCGGAAUUACUGGGCGUAAAGCGCGCGUAGGUGGCUUGAUAAGCCGGUUGUGAAAGCCCCGGGCUCAACCUGGGAACGGCAUCCGGAACUGUCAAGCUAGAGUGCAGGAGAGGAAGGUAGAAUUCCCGGUGUGGCGGUGAAAUGCGUAGAGAUCGGGAGGAAUACCAGUGGCGAAGGCGGCCUUCUGGACUGGCACUGACACUGAGGUGCGAAAGCGUGGGUAGCAAACAGGAUUAGAUACCCGUGUAGUC